rnacentral:rRNA from 1 species
UAUUAGUUUUUCGCAUGAAGAACUAAUUAAAGGAGUAAUCCGCUUUGAGAUGGACCCGCGGCGCAUUAGCUAGUUGGUGAGGUAAAGGCUCACCAAGGCGACGAUGCGUAGCCGACCUGAGAGGGUGAUCGGCCACAUCGGAACUGAGACACGGCCCAGACUCCUACGGGAGGCAGCAGUGGGGAAUAUUGCACAAUGGGCGAAAGCCUGAUGCAGCAACGCCGCGUGAGUGAUGAAGGCCUUCGGGUUGUAAAGCUCUGUCUUUUGGGACGAUAAUGACGGUACCAAAGGAGGAAGCCACGGCUAACUACGUGCCAGCAGCCGCGGUAAUACGUAGGUGGCGAGCGUUGUCCGGAUUUACUGGGCGUAAAGGAUGCGUAGGCGGAUAUUUAAGUGAGAUGUGAAAUACCCGAGCUUAACUUGGGUGCUGCAUUUCAAACUGGAUAUCUAGAGUGUGGGAGAGGAGAAUGGAAUUCCUAGUGUAGCGGUGAAAUGCGUAGAGAUUAGGAAGAACACCAGUGGCGAAGGCGAUUCUCUGGACCAUAACUGACGCUGAGGCAUGAAAGCGUGGGUAGCAAACAGGAUUAGAUACCCUGGUAGUCCACGCCGUAAACGAUGAGUACUAGGUGUAGGGGGUAUCGACUCCUUCUGUGCCGCAG